rnacentral:rRNA from 1 species
CAAUAGCGUAUAUUAAAGUUGUUGCGGUUAAAAAGCUCGUAGUUGGAUUUCUGCCGAGGACGACCGGUCCGCCCUCUGGGUGUGUAUCUGGUUUGGCCUGGGCAUCUUCUUGGAGAACGUAGCUGCACUUGACUGUGUGGUGCGGUGUCCAGGACUUUUACUUUGAGGAAAUUAGAGUGUUUCAAGCAGGCACACGCCUUGAAUACAUUAGCAUGGAAUAAUAAGAUAGGACCUCGGUUCUAUUUUGUUGGUUUCUAGAGCUGAGGUAAUGAUUAAUAGGGAUAGUUGGGGGCAUUCGUAUUUAACUGUCAGAGGUGAAAUUCUUGGAUUUGUUAAAGACGAACUACUGCGAAAGCAUCUGCCAUGGAUGUUUUCAUUGA